AGAGUUUGAUCCUGGCUCAGAUUGAACGCUGGCGGUAUGCUUUACACAUGCAAGUCGAACGGCAGCAUGGGUGCUUGCACCUGAUGGCGAGUGGCGAACGGGUGAGUAAUGUAUCGGAACAUGUCCGGAAGUGGGGGAUAGCUCGGCGAAAGCCGGAUUAAUACCGCAUAUGCCCUGAGGGGGAAAGGGGGGGAUCGUAAGACCUCUCGCUUUCGGAGUGGCCGAUAUCGGAUUAGCUAGAUGGUGAGGUAAAGGCUCACCAUGGCGACGAUCCGUAGCUGGUCUGAGAGGACGACCAGCCACACUGGAACUGAGACACGGUCCAGACUCCUACGGGAGGCAGCAGUGGGGAAUUUUGGACAAUGGGCGCAAGCCUGAUCCAGCCAUACCGCGUGAGUGAAGAAGGCCUUCGGGUUGUAAAGCUCUUUCAGCUGGAAAGAAAACGCAUCCAUUAAUACUGGGUGUGGAUGACGGUACCAGCAGAAGAAGCACCGGCUAACUACGUGCCAGCAGCCGCGGUAAUACGUAGGGUGCGAGCGUUAAUCGGAAUUACUGGGCGUAAAGCGUGCGCAGGCGGCUUUUUAAGCCAGAUGUGAAAUCCCCGGGCUCAACCUGGGAACUGCAUUUGGAACUGGAAGGCUAGAGUGUAGAAGAGGGGGGUAGAAUUCCACGUGUAGCAGUGAAAUGCGUAGAGAUGUGGAGGAAUACCGAUGGCGAAGGCAGCCCCCUGGGCUAACACUGACGCUCAUGCACGAAAGCGUGGGGAGCAAACAGGAUUAGAUACCCUGGUAGUCCACGCCCUAAACGAUGUCAACUAGGUGUUGGGGAAGGAGACUUCUUUAGUACCGCAGCUAACGCGAUAAGUUGACCGCCUGGGGAGUACGGUCGCAAGAUUAAAACUCAAAGGAAUUGACGG
rnacentral:rRNA from 1 species